UGAGGAUUGAUCAUAUCUAAGAGAAGCAUUGAAGCUAAAAAAUCGCAUCAUCUAACAUAGGUUAAUUUGAGUUGAAGGAAUUGGAUAAGCUCAGAGGAUGAGUUGAAGAGGAUAAAGGAGGUUAUGAACGCAUUUGCCUUUGGAAAUGACCUCACGUACGUUGCUAUGCUUGUAGCCCAAGAUAUUUCAGCACGAUUACAAAGGGAAUGAAGGUAAAAGCUGAUAAAGAUGGGUCCUCGCCUCAUGCUUCUAUGCUUGCAACCCAAGAUGUUGCAACAUGGUGAUAGGAUGCAGGUUAACUUCUAAACCAUCAUAUGAAAUCCUGCCAUUAUUCAGUAAGAGCUUGGUGUGGUUGAUAUUUUUGUCAGUCUGUGCAGACUAGAAUGGCAGUCUGGCUAUCAUGAAUGUUGGAUUUUCUGCAUUUUUGCCGAUGUGUACAUAGUUGUACACUAGUGUGAAUUAAAAAAAUAAAUAAGUGUGAAAAUUAUAUAGUCAUAUGGAUACUCUUUUUGUAGCCCUUGAAAAGAGAUUUCCGAAUAUAUAAAGUUUGU